GACAAUUUUGGAAGUGGUGAGCACAAGGUCAGGCAAUGCAAUGAGAAAUAUCCAGAAUCCAGUUGGGUGUUGUUUCAAUAUCUUUUAUGUGUUGUUGGACUCCAAGACUGGAAAAGUAUUAGAAGAAUGAAGGAUUCUACCAAGUUUAAAAGUCUUUAAAACUAGACCCAAGACAUUUCAAUAUCUUAAGAAUCAAAGAAAUGCAAAACCCAGUCAAGUGAAGCAGCAGACUGAGAGGAGUGCAGAGUUCUGUGAGUGGAGAGAAGGGUUAGGAAUUGUGUGAUUUGAAUCCAGGGAGCUGAGAUACUGGUCCCUGAACACAGCUCAGGGGGGUCCCUCAGUCAGGUGGACAGUUCCACAGUCAGCAUCCAGAUUCCACAUGCAAGACAGGAUGUAUUCAGAAGAUCUGGACUCCAGUCACUGUUCUGCACUGAGCUGGCCAACCCUGGGAAAUCUACUUCCCUUGUCUGGGCAUCGUCUGAAAAACGAAGUCGGGACAGGCGGCCUCUAAGUCACAACAGGUUACAUCAUGGCAUCUCCUCUCCCAAGCACUCAGUGAGCCAGGCAAACUCAAGACCCCAAAUGCAUUCUCUCUCUGGAUUCUCACGACACCUAGGAGGUGAGCACUGUUGUUGCCCACAUCAUCCAACUUCCGAGAGAUCAGAGCAUGGUGGUCCACAGCCGCGAGUCCUCUCCCCGCUCCGACUCUUCCCCCAACCUGACGAAGAUGCACCAGGUGGGGUCCAGCAGAAGAAACGGAGACGGAUCCAUCACUGAUUUUUUCCAAACAGUCAGGGUCAGCCUCCCUCCACUGACUGAUGGAGGAGAAGGCAGGGGGUGGUGAGAGCCCACGGGGAGGGGAGAAGGCAGCAAGUAGCAAAGCCAGCACGGCACACAGUCUUGUGUGAGCCUCACGGCAACCCUGUGAGGGGAGCUUGUUGUUCCCAUUGUACAGAUGAAGAAGAGGUUCAGAUUCAGAGAGAUCAAAUCACCUGUCCACACUUAUCAGCGCUGGCCAGCAACAAAGCCGCGAUCGGAACACGUCUUGUUUGCCUCCUCCUAUCACACUGCACUCGGACAAUUGUUUCUGAACAUCCAGACACAUAUUUAUCAAGGCCAGGGCUGUGUCGACUGACAAUGAAAUAACAGGUCAAUUCAGUGGGAAGGAAGAAAAAGUAUUUCUUUAGAAAGUCAGUCUUCUCUUGACACUGUCUGAGCUGAGGUCUUGGGGUCUGAGGCCCAGCCCUGUCCUGAAGGAGCUCCUCUGGACAAGUCCGCCCAUGAGAGGCAUCCAGGGCAGGGAACUGACCGCAGUGGGGACUGGCCUGUAGUCUGGCGCGAGGAGGCUUUAGAAUGGACACGUGGGAGGAAUUAUACGAAUAUGGCCUGAGCAGGGACAAGGCCUGCACAAACCAAGCCAUCUUCAAAACAGAAAGAACUGGAUUUUUUUCUACUUCUCUUUUGACCCCACAUUUGAAGAGCAUAUGUUGAAGAAGAACCACACUCCAGGUCUUCCUGGCAGAUGAGAAUAAUCGACUCUAAGUACAAAGAGACAUGUCCCCAGACUCUCCUGGGAUGUAGCUGUGCCCACCGUCAGGGCUGUGCUGGUGACCCGGCUCCCUGGAAGACAGACUAACAAAAGCCAAUUUCCACUGCGUAAGCACUCCCAAUUCAAGCUACUAAUGUGUUCACAACCGGCUCAUAAAAUCCCUGGACAUUUAACAACCAGCUCUUGCAAGCCAGUGGGACCAGCUCUACACCACUGGGCAGCAAGCGCCCAGGGGGCAGCCUUAUGAGAGAGCAGGGGACAUUUUGGACAAUGGCCAGGGCCUCCUUCCCCACCACGGCUCCAGCCACUCCAAGAUAUCCUGUCCUUUUACUUCUUGCGGUUCCUUCGGCCUGGAGAGUUCAUCCCGUCUUCCUCCUUCUGAGAGACUGCUCUACAUCCUUCAAGACCAGGCUGAGAAAUGCUCUGACCAUUAAGCCUUCCCUGGCCUCUUCAGGUCAGACGCACUCUUGAUCUUCCGCCCAAGCCUGCAUUUCUGUUGAAGUUUCUGCUUCUCCUCCUGGACUGUGAGGCCUGUGGACAGAGGGCUGGGCUCCCUUCACCUCUGAAUGAGGGGCAGACAGAGGGCCUCACGACACAUGUUGCUGUUGGAAAGAGUUAAACACUCGGAUUCCAAGGCAGGCUGUGAACGACGCCCCUCCUUAAGCUGGUCUGAGCCUCCACGUCUCCAGGGGACCCACAGGAGCAGUGCUAACCCGGGUGGCUGGGCGGCCGCUAGCACGCGUGUCCUUUCUCCAGCUGUGGGCAGGGACUGACCAGUGCAGGAGACAGAGCUCCCUCUGGCCGGCCUCAGCUCUGAAGGGAUGUUCCGGGAAGAGCCCGACCACCACCGUUGGCCUUAAACUUGCUAGCGAUCAGACAGAAGGGGGAGGCUGGAUUUUAAGACCAGACCCUGAUCCUUCUCUCAAGCUCCCCAAACUGAGAGCCUUCCACAGGGAUGUGCCCCAGGAUGUCGCCCAGGACCCGCCACGAGAACGCGGGCAUCAGAGGGAAGGGCUAGAUCUUCCAACUGGCGACUCCCCCGGGCCAGAGGGCAGCGCAGGGAAGGACCGGGGUGAGGCGAGAGGAUGAGUGCCGCUGAGAGCGCAGGGAC
ensembl:lncRNA